rnacentral:rRNA from 1 species
AGCAUGUUAAUCAGCGAGGAA